rnacentral:rRNA from 1 species
UGGCACCUACGGGAGGCAGCAGUGGGGGAUAUUGCACAAUGGGGGGAACCCUGAUGCAGCGACGCCGCGUGUGGGAAGACGGUCCUCUGGAUUGUAAACCACUGUCCCCAGGGACGAAAAUGACGGUACCUGGGGAGGAAGCUCCGGCUAACUACGUGCCAGCAGCCGCGGUAAUACGUAGGGAGCGAGCGUUGUCCGGAAUUACUGGGUGUAAAGGGAGCGUAGGCGGGGAUGCAAGUUGGGUGUCCAAACUACCGGCUCAACUGGUAGUCGCACUCAAAACUGCAGCUCUUGAGUGAAGUAGG